rnacentral:rRNA from 1 species
CGAACCGUCCAAACGUUAUUCGGAAUUACUGGGCUUAAAGGGUGCGUAGGCGGCCUGACAAGUUGGGUGUGAAAUACCUCGGCUCAACCGAGGAACAGCGCUCAAAACUGUUAGGCUUGAGGGAGAUAGAGGUGAGCGGAACUUAAGGUGGAGCGGUGAAAUGCGUUGAUAUCUUAAGGAACACCCGUGGCGAAAGCGGCUCACUGGAUCUCUUCUGACGCUCAUGCACGAAAGCUAGGGGAGCAAACGGGAUU